CGGCGAGGCGAGGCCUGCGGAGCGGAGGAAGACAAACAUAAAGAUGAAGUGCUUAAUUCAAGGUCACACAAUGUCGGGGAUGGACCUCCAGAUUUCCUUACUGGUGAGACGUGGUCUUGUAACACAGUGGUUAAGAAUGUGACUUUGGAGCCAGCCUGCUAGGGGCUGAAUUCUGACUCAGCCAUUUACUAACUGUGUGACCUUAGGGAGGAGGACCUGGUUGAUAGAAGAAUUUAUCUCGUAGUCUUAACAUCCACUGUAAUUCCAAACUUUGAGGACGAUAGAGAUCAGUGGGCUUUGACUGCCCAGCAUGCAGUCUCCAUUCUUAGGUGGGUUCCCAAGCCUGUAAAAUGUAAGCCUUAUGCUGCUGAGGGCCAUCUUGCCACCCUGAGGGAAACGCUGCCUGAGAAUGAAACAAGCAUAAGUAAAAGCUGAGCUGUGAGAUGGAGCAAGAUGAAGGCCACAUGACAUCUUUGGAGCACCUGGAUCUAACUGUGCCUUAAGCUAGUCUAACCCUGAACAUUUCAUCAUUUCAUUGACAUGAGCCCAGGUUUUCUUUUUUUUUGGAUGGAGUCUUGCUCUGUCGCCCAGGCUGGAGUGCAGUAGCUCAAUCUCGGCUCACUGCAAGCUCCACCUCCCGGGUUCACGCCAUUCUCCUGCCUUAGCCUCCCAAGUAGCUGGGACAACAGGCGCCCACCACCACUCCCAGCUAAUUUUUUGUAUUUUUAGUAGAGACGGGGUUUUACCAUGUUAGCCGGGAUGGUCUUGAUCUCCUGACCUCAUGAUCCGCCCGCCUCGGCCUCCCAAAGUGCUGGGAUUACAGGUGUGAGCCACUGCACCCAGCCCUCAGGUUUUCCCUUUUUUUACCCCUCCUUUUGAAAAUUUGAUGUGGAAUUUUGCCACCUGCAGCCAGAAGAGUUUUAACUAAUCAGUGCCA
rnacentral:lncRNA from 10 species